UGGGGAAUUGUUCGCAAUGGGCGCAAGCCUGACGACGCAACGCCGCGUGGAGGAUGAAGACCUUCGGGUCGUAAACUCCUUUCGACCGAGAUGAAGAGGCGCCAACCUAACACGUUGGCGCAUUGACAGUAUCGAGGGAAGCAGCCCCGGCUAACUCCGUGCCAGCAGCCGCGGUAAUACGGGGGGGGCAAGCGUUGUUCGGAAUUACUGGGCGUAAAGGGUUUGUAGGUGGCUUGUUAAGUCACACGUGAAAUCCCUCAGCUUAACUGGGGAACUGCGUGUGAAACUGGCGAGCUUGAGGACAGGAGAGGAACGCGGAAUUCCAGGUGUAGCGGUGAAAUGCGUAGAUAUCUGGAGGAACACCGGUGGCGAAGGCGGCGUUCUGGACUGUUUCUGACACUGAUAAACGAAAGCCAGGGGAGCAAACGGGAUUAGAUACCCCCGUAGUCC
rnacentral:rRNA from 1 species